CCUGGCCAGGCCCUGCACCAAUCGGCAGCGGCGGUGGCGUGGGCGGCUGCGUGACGGACAGGAGACAGGAUACUGGUGCCGCCGCUCCUUCCGCCGAUCUCGGGAACGCAGUGGCCGCCGAGCGCACGCCCGCGCGCUCCGUCAGAGGCCGCGCCCGCGCUCAGACCGCGUGCCCGCUAGGAAAGAGGGUGACCCUGGCCUGUACUGAAUCUGGCCUGGAUCCUCAUUUCUGCUAGAAGCGCUUAGCCCCUGCGUGGAAGCAAAGGAGAGAAUCGCAGACACGAUUAACCGACCCGUCUGUUGGGCUUCCCUGCCCUUGUCCGACCCCUUGUUUCUUUUCCCUGUUGCCUUCCUGCUUCUAAUUUCAGACAAAGGAAAAAUAAAGAAUCAGAAAAAAGGGUAGGACGACACUGGAAUUUAAGUUAGCAAGAGAAGUUUGAGAUUGUCCCUUUGGGAUUAUAACAACAAUAUUUAAUGGACUGAUGUCGCUAACAUGUUGCACUUUAUCUUUCUAAAGUCCAUGUUUGGACCAUUCUAAAGAAUUUAAAACCUAUUCUGAUAUAGAUAUAUGAAGUGAAUCGGCGUUAAUGUGUCUGUUUUAUAGAUUAAGAAAAAAUUAUGAGGUCACAAAUAAACCAUAUGCCAAAACGAGGACGUGGACUUGGAACUGACUUCCAGGAACGAUGUCAUUUAAACUCAAAAUCACAGCUCCGAGUCCUACCAUUCAGCUAGUAUUCACAAUCUAAGUGGUUUGAUUUUUACCCUAGGAGAAAGAGGGAAGCCUUUAAUAUUAUUUAAAUAGGGAACUAGAGGUACGAAUGCAACAAACCUUGGGGCGGGGAGGACUGAAGUCUACCAAGCAAUGAAUGGAGUGCUUAUUGGAAAGUAUUUUGAAAAGAUGCAGCGAAUAUUAUUCUCAAGUGAAUUAAUGUAAAAGUGUUCUGUAAAGUGUAAAAUAUUAUAUGAUAUAUGUUGUUUCUAUCCCAAACAUGUUCUGUUUUUUACUGUGUCUGCAGUAAAACAACCCUGCCUACAACUAAUACAUUAUUAAUCACUAUUGAUAAUAGUGCACUUAAAUACUUCCAGGCAAACAUAGCAAAGCCCACACUUUUUCAUCUUUCCAGACACUGGUGCAUUAUUUUCAGACAAUAUGGGAAAUAUUUUAACCAACUAGGGUGAUAAAACUGUGUGAAAUAAUAAAUAGGUAUUUGGUCUCUGCCCCAAAUUCCUGGCACAGAGCUUCUAAAACCCUCGUGAAUUCAGGUGUGUUAGGGUGCUAGAAGCACCUUUUGUUCUAAUAUUUAAUUUUUGACCCUGGUUCCUGACAUAGAGCUUCUAAGUACUCUAGAAUCCCCAGAGUGAUAAGAGUGUCUUUUUGAAUGCUACUGAAUGACUGAUGAUUGGGGCUCCCUAGAUAGCUUAAGAUAAUGCUGAACACCAGAAAGACCCAUGCAUGAUUAGGUUGGAAUUUUCAGACCCAUGUGCCUCCACCUACUGAAGGGAAGAGGAGCUGCAAAAGUUAAUCACGAAUGGCCAAUCAAUCCUGCCUCUGUAAUGGAACCUCCAUGAAAAUCUCAAACAAUGAGGUUUGAAGAGCUUCUGGGUUGGUGAACACAUCAAGAUGCUGGGAGAAUGAUAUGCCUAGAGAGAACAGGGAUGCUCUGCAGCCCUUCCAUUUUACCUUGCCUUAUGCAUACCUUCCAUUUGGCCUUCCUUGAGUUGUAUCCUUUAUAAUAAACUGGUAAUAGUAAACAAA